rnacentral:rRNA from 1 species
CAGAGACUGCAAGCGUUAUUCGGAUUCACUGGGCGUAAAGGGUGCGCAGGCGGUCGUGUGUGUCAGGUGUGAAAUCCCGGAGCUUAACUCCGGAACUGCGCCUGAAACUACACGACUAGAGCAUUGGAGAGGGAAGUGGAAUUCAUGGUGUAGCAGUGAAAUGCGUAGAUAUCAUGAGGAACACCAGAGGCGAAGGCGACUUCCUGGACAAUUGCUGACGCUCAGGCACGAAAGCAUGGGGAGCAAAAGGGAUUAGAUACCCCUGUAGUCCAUGCCCUAAACGGUGCACACUAGGUCUUGGAGGAUUCGACCCCUUCAUGGCCCAAGCUAACGCGUUAAGUGUGCCGCCUGAGGACUACGGUCGCAAGACUA